UUGCAUCCCCCUUUGACCAAAAAGACUUUUGUUUCUAUUAUGUCACAAAAACCACGGCACCACUCCAAACCAUUCGAAUUCUUCUUCUUUGACCACAGAAGCAACAUGAUUAAACAAAACUAAACUCUUUUCCUUCCAUGCCUUCUGCAGCUGAUAGCAAAGACAGAGCCCAGCAGCGCAGCAGAGAUGUUACAUCCCGUAUCUCAAUUUACCAGUUUACUAGUCAUUUGGACGGUAAACGACAAUUACUUUCACUUUUUACUUUGUUUCGAUACUUUUAGUGGCCCUAAAAGUUGACUUUUUGUUCGGGUCAAAAUUUGAGAAAAUUUCCUGCAUGAAAGUUGUAGAGAACGUUAAACCGAGCGCGUGCAUAUGUGGUACGUAAAAAUCGGAGUUCGUAUGCGAUAGUUAUGGGCGAAAAACAAAAGUUAUUGUAGAUGGUAGAAAGUAUAAAUUCGAUUUUCUACUGUGGCCGGGUAACUUUCUUUUCCUCUCUCUCUCUCUCUCUUCUCUCCCCUGCGUUUCCUCUCUGUCUCUCUUUUCUCCAGUUACUGUUCAUCAUCAUCAAGCUCGCGUCCGGCCACCUGGGAGCGAGCUGCAACCACCAUUGGAUUCAUCUCUCCGUCCUCGACUCGUCUGUGGUGGUGGAACGCAGUGUUGUGGCCGGAAAACGACGAAUCGAACUGUUGAAGUUUACUGUAGCAGUGUGCCAUUUUCCAGAUUUCGGCCAUUUCCGGCGGCUUUCCUGGACUUAAUCGACUCGCCUGGCAACGGGGGUGGCAUUCCUCCAAGCCUUGUUCCACGAAUCGAAGGAAAAAUCGACGAAUCAAAGGGUGACGUACCGAGCGAUUGCUCGACGAAGGAACUCGUAUGCGUGAUCACCUGAAUAGUACUUUUGCAGGCGAAAUUAGUUGAGGUCGGGCGUACAUUGGAGUUGAGGCAUAGUCAACAGCAUGGCUUCCGCAUUUUUAUUUGAUUUAGGGUGGCUCCAGGAGAAUAAGGAUGGGGGAUUUAGAAGUGUAAAUAUGCUUUCUACAGGUUUUGGGUAGUCCAUUUUAGGGGAAGUUCCGCCAAAUUUUUGGUAGAAUUUCUUCUAAGGUGGGCCCCGCAGGGCCACUUCGGAUUUGGGGUGAAAUCCGGGGCGGGUCCUGUCAAGAGAAGAACAUGCCCAACACAACAUGACAACAAUCCCCCCCCCCCCAGUGACGGCGAUGGGAGAAUUGAAACGGCGGAGGAAAACUUCUGGAGCUUCGCAUCUAAUCAAGGACUCACUGGCGGAGGAGGAUUUCGGAGACAGAGAGUGGUGCAGGAGUUGGUAAUGGACAGAAAGAGAGAGAGAGAAGGGUGAGAUCGUGAGGGAGGGACUGAGGGACAUUUCAGCUGGUAAUCUGGGGCUGAGAGCCUGAGAUGGUAUCGAGAAAGAGGGAGGUAUGUGGCAACUAAUACAAGAUUCGGGUCUGUUCGGGCUUUCGGUCCCUCAAAAUUUGAAGCUCGAGACCGAACCGAUUAUAUGCAUUCAGGUUGGGCUUUAGACCGAACCGAGAAUUUCUAUAUCAAAACCGAACUGAAUCGGGCUUUUUUCCUCGGUUCGGGUCGGGUCCUCGGUCUUUCGAGUCCGGACGCCCAGCCCUAAGAGUAGCCAUAGCCACUGCGUCCCCAACCAUAGACCAUAACGAAUCAGAACUUCGAUCUUCCUCCACUGCGUCCCACUCCCACCAAAGCCAUCGAUCUAGACCUUCUCCUUGUGGGGCCCCAGAUCAGAUCAAAUCGAAAAACCGAUCCAAAAGAUCACCACGCCCCCAAUCUCACAACCGCCGCGGUGACAAAGUAACAACGAUCCGUUCGGGCUACCACCAGUUGCCACUGCAACCCUCAAACCCAUGCUUAGAACCUUGGACUUCUCAUUGAUGUUUUAUGUGAAAUUUGCUUAUAGUGCUGGCUUGAGACAUAUCCCCUUCCCACCUCUAAAUGGUAAUUCAUUUGGCAUCUUCGGGUUCCUCCAAAAGAUCAAGAUUUUUUUUGCUUGUUUUCUCAAUGUAAAAUUUUUACCGAUGAGCAAAGAAAAAGAAGAAAUUUAACUAAUGAUUAUUCAUCCCCUUUUUGCAUCGAUCCUCUGGAGUCUUCACUUCACACCCUCUACAGUUGCCCUUAAGCAACGUUGACAUAGAGCAGCAUUCCCUCCCCUCCAUUGCUCGCCAUUCUUUUUCUUUCAACUUUGAGGAUUCGUUAUUUACAAAUAUGAGUUUGAAACCUGAAUUCGAACUCUAAUCUGUGGAAGGGCAUAUUUACUUAUGCUUGUUGCAUGUCUAAAUGGAGAUGUUUUGAUGCUCAAUUCGAUCAAAACUCCUUUCAAUACAUAAAAAAAUUUGAAGAUUAGUUUUCGUGCCAAUUAGUAGACAUCCACGAGAUCAAGUUGUUAUGGCAUGGCCUCCCCCUUGUGUUAGAGUCGCCAAAAUUAAUGUUGAUGGUUUUCGACUUUUAGAUUAGCUUCUUUUGGUGGAAUUGAAGUUGGGGGAUUACUCCAAAAUAGUCAUGGCAUGGGGAUUGGA